rnacentral:rRNA from 1 species
UACGUAGGGUGCAAGCGUUGUCCGGAAUUAUUGGGCGUAAAGAGCUCGUAGGCGGUUUGUCGCGUCUGCUGUGAAAACUGGGGGCUCAACCCCCAGCCUGCAGUGGGUACGAGCAGACUAGAGUGCGGUAGGGGAGAUUGGAAUUCCUGGUGUAGCGGUGGAAUGCGCAGAUAUCAGGAGGAACACCGAUGGCGAAGGCAGAUCUCUGGGCCGUAACUGACGCUGAGGAGCGAAAGCAUGGGGAGCGAACAGG